CCUGGGUGCUGGACCCCACCUGACAAAAGGCCUACUGCCUCCUGUCAUUGAGGAGCAAUGACUUCAAGGUCACAGCUGUCUCUCCAGGGCCCCUGAGGUGGGGGAAGGGAAUGAGAGUGCCUAAACUUCAUAAUUGAGAACAGGAGACCUGGCCCUUGCCCAUCUUUGCUGGGAUACUGGACUUCGUAACCUUGCUUGCAUCCACUGUUCAUGGGACCAUGUAGCAUGCUCUCCUUUGGAAAAUUACUAAACAUAGGAUUAGCAGCACCUGGAAAUGUCAGGAAGGCCCGACAAAGUCUGAAGCAAGUAAAAAAUAUUUUUAUUUGCAGGUUCUCGGGUAAGGUGACAAGCCUAGGAAAAUAGGUACUUUUAAUUCCCCAAGUGGGGAAAACAGAGCCAGUUUUCUUGACAUAAUUAUCGUUUCAUCUGUUCAAGGUAUGGAGAAUGCCAACUACUGUCCCAGAAUGGACCCGAGUAAUUGAAACCAGUUGUGAGUGGAAAUUCUAGAAGGGUAAUACUAGAACUUACACGGCUUACCAUUAUUUAGGUGGUUGUCUGAAGAGUUCAUGCAAAAUAAUUUGGAGUGCUGGAGGUAAUUGGAGAGACCCCUAAUAUCAUUAAAGGUCUGAAAGAUGCCAGGGGUGCUGGAGUGGGAUCAAGAAAGAGGUGUCAGUUCCCGAGCUCCCAGCAGUGACUGUCAGCAAGGGACAGAAGGUGAAUGCAGCUUGUUAGGCGUAUGGCAACAGCAAAGAAGCAGGCUUCUAUGUAACCUGUUAGGGAUGGAACCCUGA
rnacentral:lncRNA from 1 species